GAAGCUUUUUUCAUCUGAAAAGUGUCGACACUUGGCUGUCUAAUUCCACCUAGAGUGUGGUUACACAUUCCUGUUCUACUAUGAGUAUAAGAAGACUAAAGAACAAUUCAGCUGUGCAAAGGAUCUGUCCACUCUGCAGAUUACUAUGACAGGUGCCUUGGGGAAACGCACGCGGUCUCAGGAAAAUGACUUGGCUCAGCUGAUCCUAGAUGUGCAAAGAGAGGAGGAAGUCCUCUCGGGGAGUGAUCUCACCCCAGAACCUACACCAGUGGAAAAACUAGCAAAGAUAAUCAGCGAGAACCCUCCUCCACCUCUCCACUACUGAGGGGCAAGAAUCAGCCAGGUUUUCCCCUACCAAGACCACAAUGUGAACGGUGAUAAAGCGCUGAACAUGAUUACCUUAGCAGAGCCUGACUAGUUGCAGAAGCCCGAGCUGUGUGCAGAGCAGCAGGCAGUGAUUCUUGGAGUUUGGUAAGUCACCCAUCUCCCUACUGCAGUUCUCUGCCAGAACAAUUUAAACACCCCCUAGUCUGAAGACUUUCACAGUUGCUGUCAGAAUCCUUAAAAGGACUAAGAAAGGAUAUCACGCGUGUACUGCAUAAUAUUGGUUUUAACACUUAGAUACCCAAAUGUGAAUUGGAAAGAUUCUUGUAUGGAGUAGUAGAAUCUGGGGAUGGAAGGAGUCAGUUUUUUCUCUGCGUAUAUACGGGUAUAUCGCACAUUUUUAUACGAAAGUACUGCUGUAGUAUGAUUGGUGGUGAAUAAGAGCUGAUAAAUAAAAGCUGACUACUGAGGAGCAAUACAUGUGAUAUUAUUGUAAUAGCGUUUAAAUAGGACAAAGAUCCUGAAGAUCGUGCUCUGCAGUUUAAGGAGAGCGAAAUACAGCAGAACUUUGUAUUUUAGGGUACUGUAGUUUAACACCCAUAGCUAUAAAAUCUGUCCUGUUCACUGCAGGUAAGAACGGAUUUACUAAACCUUCAGGUAAGAACAAAAUUAUUACACCUUGUGCUGAAAAGGUGCGUUGCAAUUUUACUCUAGGAACUCCUGAUUCUUGUCAGAUAGUGCCCUCUAGCAUGCAACUGCAUGUAUGAACACAUUAUCACGCAGAAAGCUCAGUUCAAACAUGGAGUUCUAAGAGGCAGGUAACCUAAUUAAAGACACACACAUGUGUUUCUGGCAUUCAUGAGGACCUUUGUCGGCACAAUUCCUGUAGAAGU